AUCGAUGAAGAACGCAGCGAAAUGCGAUAAGUAAUGUGAAUUGCAGAAUUCAGUGAAUCAUCGAAUCUUUGAACGCACAUUGCGCCCUCUGGUAUUCCGGAGGGCAUGCCUGUUUGAGUGUCAUUAAUCUCUCACAACCACCUGUGGUAUUGUGAUGUUGGGAGCUGCGCUGUGCUUGCACGACGCUCUCCUCAAAUGCAUUGGUGCGGCCUGCCGCCCGGUUACACAACGUUCUAGGUUCGUCCAACUCGUUGCUACUCCGGUGCAAUCAUGGUGCUGCACCUAAAGCCCGUCUCGUGCCUUGUGCUCUUGACAUCUUCAUUUAUUGACCUCAGAUCAGGUAGGAAUACGCGCUGAACUUAAGCAUAUCAAUAAGCGCAGGGGGAGGAACUAACUAGGAUGCCUUCAGUAACGGCGAGCGAAGCAGGCAUAGCUCAAAUUUGUAAUCUGGCGCCUUUGGCGUCCGAGUUGUAUUUUCUAGAAGCGAGUUCGGCGACAGCUCCUACCCAAGUCCGUUGGAACACGGCGUCAUGGAGGGUGAGAAUCCCGUGAAUGGUAGGAUGUCUGCUGCUAUGUGAACCGCCUUCGAAGAGUCGAGUUGUUUGGGAAUGCAGCUCUAAAUGGGAGGUAAAUUUCUUCUAAAGCUAAAUAUUGGCCAGAUGCGAUAGCGAACAAGUAGAGUGAUCGAAAGAUGAAAAGAACUUUGAAAAGAGAGUUAAACAGUACGUGAAAUUGUUGAAAGGGAAGCGCUUGAGAUCAGACUUCCUGUCUGGACUGUCCUUGCUUUUGCUUGGGUCAACAGUCCAGGCGUGGAGGCCAGCAUCAGUUUUGACGGCUGGAUAAAGGCCCU
rnacentral:rRNA from 1 species